rnacentral:rRNA from 1 species
CGGAUUUGGAAUGGGCGCAGCCUGAUCAGCCUGCCGCGUGAGUGAUGAAGGCCUUCGGGUUGUAAAGCUCUUUUGGGAGGACGAUAAUGCCUGUACCGCAAGAAUAAGCCCCGGAUAACUUCGUGCCAGCAGCCCGCGGUAAUACAAAAUGC